UACGGAGGAUGCGAGCGUUAUCCGGAUUUAUUGGGUUUAAAGGGUGCGUAGGCGGGCUUUUAAGUCAGCGGUAAAAAUUCGGGGCUCAACCCCGUCCGGCCGUUGAAGCUGGCAGACUUGAGUUGGCGAGAAGUACGCGGAAUGCGCGGUGUAGCGGUGAAAUGCAUAGAUAUCGCGCAGAACUCCGAUUGCGAAGGCAGCGUACCGGCGCCAGACUGACGCUGAGGCACGAAAGCGUGGGGAUCGAACAGG
rnacentral:rRNA from 1 species